UACGUAGGGGGCAAGCGUUGUCCGGAAUCAUUGGGCGUAAAGAGCGUGUAGGCGGCCCGAUAAGUCCGCUGUGAAAGUCCAGGGCUCAACCCUGGAAUGCCGGUGGAUACUGUCGGGCUCGAAUCCGGAAGAGGUGAGUGGAAUUCCUGGUGUAGCGGUGAAAUGCGCAGAUAUCUGGAGGAAUACCGGUGGCGAAGGCGGCAUCCUGGACCGACAAUGACGCUGAGGAGCGAAAGCUGGGGGAGCAAACGGG
rnacentral:rRNA from 1 species